UGCAGUCGAGCGCCACCUUCGGGUGGAGCGGCGGACGGGUUAGUAACGCGUGGGAACAUACCCAGAUCUAAGGAAUAGCCACUGGAAACGGUGAGUAAUACCUUAUACGCCCUUCGGGGGAAAGAUUUAUCGGAUUUGGAUCGGCCCGCGUUAGAUUAGAUAGUUGGUGAGGUAACGGCUCACCAAGUCUACGAUCUAUAGCUGGUUUUAGAGGAUGAUCAGCAACACUGGGACUGAGACACGGCCCAGACUCCUACGGGAGGCAGCAGUGGGGAAUCUUGGACAAUGGGCGCGAGCCUGAUCCAGCCAUGCCGCGUGAGUGAUGAAGGCCUUAGGGUCGUAAAGCUCUUUCGCCAGAGAUGAUAAUGACAGUAUCUGGUAAAGAAACCCCGGCUAACUCCGUGCCAGCAGCCGCGGUAAUACGGAGGGGGUUAGCGUUGUUCGGAAUUACUGGGCGUAAAGCGCGCGUAGGCGGACCAGAAAGUUAGGGGUGAAAUCCCGGGGCUCAACCCCGGAACUGCCUCUAAAACUCCUGAUCUAGAGUUCGAGAGAGGUGAGUGGAAUUCCGAGUGUAGAGGUGAAAUUCGUAGAUAUUCGGAGGAACACCAGUGGCGAAGGCGGCUCACUG
rnacentral:rRNA from 1 species